rnacentral:misc_RNA from 1 species
GAUGAAGAACGUAGCGAAAUGCGAUAAGUAAUGCGAAUUGCAGAAUUUCCGUGAGUCAUCGAAUCUUUGAACGCACAUUGCGCCCACUGGUAUUCCGGUGGGCAUGCCUGUUCGAGCGUCAUUAUCCUCCCUCAAACCCCGGUUUGGUGUUGGACCCAAGUUGUGUGAACAACUGGUCUCAAAGACAAUGACGGCGUCCGUGGGACCCUCGGUGCAACGAGCUUUUAGGAGCACGCAUCGAGUUGCAAGGACCUUCCGGGCCGGUCUCCUUUACCAUUUUACAAGGUUGACCUCGGAUCAGGUAGGAAUACCCGCUGAACUUAAGCAUAUCAAUAAGCGGAGGA